rnacentral:rRNA from 1 species
GAUGAACGCUAGCUACAGGCUUAACACAUGCAAGUCGAGGGGCAGCAUGGUCUUAGCUUGCUAAGGCCGAUGGCGACCGGCGCACGGGUGAGUAACACGUAUCCAACCUGCCGUCUACUCUUGGACAGCCUUCUGAAAGGAAGAUUAAUACAAGAUGGCAUCAUGAGUCCACAUGUUCACAUGAUUAAAGGUAUUCCGGUAGACGAUGGGGAUGCGUUCCAUUAGAUAGUAGGCGGGGUAACGGCCCACCUAGUCUUCGAUGGAUAGGGGUUCUGAGAGGAAGGUCCCCCACAUUGGAACUGAGACACGGUCCAAACUCCUACGGGAGGCAGCAGUGAGGAAUAUUGGUCAAUGGGCGAGAGCCUGAACCAGCCAAGUAGCGUGAAGGAUGACUGCCCUAUGGGUUGUAAACUUCUUUUAUAAAGGAAUAAAGUCGGGUAUGGAUACCCGUUUGCAUGUACUUUAUGAAUAAGGAUCGGCUAACUCCGUGCCAGCAGCCGCGGUAAUACGGAGGAUCCGAGCGUUAUCCGGAUUUAUUGGGUUUAAAGGGAGCGUAGAUGGAUGUUUAAGUCAGUUGUGAAAGUUUGCGGCUCAACCGUAAAAUUGCAGUUGAUACUGGAUAUCUUGAGUGCAGUUGAGGCAGGCGGAAUUCGUGGUGUAGCGGUGAAAUGCUUAGAUAUCACGAAGAACUCCGAUUGCGAAGGCAGCCUGCUAAGCUGCAACUGACAUUGAGGCUCGAAAGUGUGGGUAUCAAACAGGAUUAGAUACCCUGGUAGUCCACACGGUAAACGAUGAAUACUCGCUGUUUGCGAUAUACAGCAAGCGGCCAAGCGAAAGCGUUAAGUAUUCCACCUGGGGAGUACGCCGGCAACGGUGAAACUCAAAGGAAUUGACGGGGGCCCGCACAAGCGGAGGAACAUGUGGUUUAAUUCGAUGAUACGCGAGGAACCUUACCCGGGCUUAAAUUGCAGAUGAAUUACGGUGAAAGCCGUAAGCCGCAAGGCAUCUGUGAAGGUGCUGCAUGGUUGUCGUCAGCUCGUGCCGUGAGGUGUCGGCUUAAGUGCCAUAACGAGCGCAACCCUUGUUGUCAGUUACUAACAGGUUCCGCUGAGGACUCUGACAAGACUGCCAUCGUAAGAUGUGAGGAAGGUGGGGAUGACGUCAAAUCAGCACGGCCCUUGCGUCCGGGGCUACACACGUGUUACAAUGGGGGGUACAGAGGGCCGCUACCACGCGAGUGGAUGCCAAUCCCAAAAACCUCUCUCAGUUCGGACUGGAGUCUGCAACCCGACUCCACGAAGCUGGAUUCGCUAGUAAUCGCGCAUCAGCCACGGCGCGGUGAAUACGUUCCCGGGCCU